GUGCCAUCAAACACAACCCUGUGCCCUGCUCCUGUCUGGAGAGAGAGUGGGUCUGUAGAGGUGCCAUCAAACACAACCCUGUGCCCUGCUCCUGUCUGGAGAGAGAGUGGGUCUGUAGAGGUGCCAUCAAACACAACCCUGUGCCCUGCUCCUGUCUGGAGAGAGAGGGUCUGUAGAGGUGCCAUCAAACACAACCCUGUGCCCUGCUCCUGUCUGGAGAGAGAGUGGGUCUGUAGAGGUGCCAUCAAACACAACCCUGUGCCCUGCUCCUGUCUGGAGAGAGAGUGGGUCUGUAGAGGUGCCAUCAAACACAACCCUGUGCCCUGCUCCUGUCUGGAGAGAGAGGGUCUGUAGAGGUGCCAUCAAACACAACCCUGUGCCCUGCUCCUGUCUGGAGAGAGAGUGGGUCUGUAGAGGUGCCAUCAA